rnacentral:rRNA from 1 species
CCUACGGGUGGCAGCAGUGAGGAAUAUUGGUCAAUGGGAGAGAUCCUGAACCAGCCAAGCCGCGUGAGGGAAGACGGCCCUAUGGGUUGUAAACCUCUUUUGUCGGAGCACAACACCCGGCGCGUGUCCCGUACUGCGUGUAUCCUACGAACAAGCCUCGGCAAACGCCGGGCCAGCCGCCGCGGUAGUACGGAGGAUUCGAGCGUUAUCCGGAUUUAUUGGGUUAAAGGGGUGCGUAGGCGGUCCGUUAAGUCAGCGGUAAAAUUGCGGGGCUCAACCCCGGCGAGCCGUUGAAACUGGCAGACUUGAGUGGGCGAGAAGUACGCGGAAUGCGCGGUGUAGCGGUGAAAUGCAUAGAUAUCGCGAAGAACUCCGAUGGCGAAGGCAGCGUACCGGAGCGAGACUGACGCUGAGGCACGAAAGCGUGGGGAUCGAACAGGAUUAGAUACCCGGGUAGUC